CAGAGUUGCAAGACUCCCUAAACCAUUGUGAACCUACCUUCUACCGUUGCUUCGGCGGGCGGGCCCAGCGCCCCCCCGGCCCCCCCGCGGGCGCCCGCCGGAGGGAUACCCAAACUCUUGACAUUAGUGGCCUCUCUGAGUAUUCUUUACUGAAUAAGUCA
rnacentral:misc_RNA from 1 species